rnacentral:rRNA from 1 species
AACGAACGCUGGCGGCAGGCUUAAAACAUGCAAGUCGAACGAUAUCUUCGGAUCUAGUGGCAGACGGGUUAGGAACACGUGGGAACAUCCCUUUCAGUUCGGAAUAACGUUGGGAAACUAACGCUAAUACCGGAUACGUCCUUCGGGAGAAAGAUUUAUCGCUGAAAGAUUGGCCCGCGUCUGAUUAGCUAGUUGGUGAGGUAAUGGCUCACCAAGGCUACGAGCAGUAGAUGAUCUGAGAGGAUGAUCAGCCACAUUGGGACUGAGACACGGCCCAAACUCCUACGGGAGGCAGCAGUGGGGAAUAUUGGACAAUGGGCGCAAGCCUGAUCCAGCCAUGCCGCGUGAGUGAUGACGGCCUUCGGGUUGUAAAGCUCUUUUGUCCGGGAAGAUAAUGACUGUACCGGAAGAAUAAGCCCCGGCAAACUUCGUGCCAGCCGCCGCGGUAA